rnacentral:rRNA from 1 species
AUGGAGGUCUGUAGCGUAGCCAGGAUAACGAGCUUUGCACAUUUUGGCCUGAAAAUUUUGCCUAAGCUCCUGGCUCUUUCUCCCGGUUCAUUGGGGAAAUUCAGAAAGGUCUCACCAGCGAUGGAAACUGAAACUGUGUUGAGAAAACUGCCGGAGCUGCUGCAGGAUGUAUUGAUAAAGGUCUCACCACCCAUGGAAACUGAAACUGUGGUGAGAAAUUUGCCGGAGCUGCUGCAGGAUGUAUUGAUGGACAUAUUUUCACUCCUGGAGAUACCUGACCUCAUGCGUGCGGCCUCUGUCAGCUCCUCCUGGCGCUCCGCGUAUACCAGCCUCUGCAGCCAGCUUAAGCUGUACAAACGGCCUCAAACGCCUUGCCUCCUCUACACCUCUGAAUCUGCUGGUGAGAAUGUAGCUUGUCUCUACAGCCUCGCAGAGAAGAGGGUCUACAAUUUAACUCUCCCGGAUCCACCCAUCCGCAGCAGGUAUCUUCUUGGGUCAUCGCAUGGUUGGCUAGUUACCGCGGAUGACAAGUCUGAGCUACACCUUAUCAAUCCGGUCACUGGCCAACAGAUUGCUCUCCCGUCAGUGGUCACCAUUGGUUAUGUACAACCAAUAUUUGACAAUGCAGGCACAAUUAUUAUGUAUAAAUUGCGACAGCAACUUUACGAUCCAGACUUAGACCCCGAAAUGGUUGGUCCCAAAAUGUUCCCCCAUGCUCCCGACAAGCUUCGUGACCAUGUCUACAUCAGGGUAUUUAUCUUUCCGGAUCCGUCCACAGGAAGCUACAUUGUGGUUCUCAUCCAUGGUCCAGGAUGUCAGCUUUCGUUUGCAAGGGUAGGAGAUUGUAAGUGGACCUUGCUGACGCUGGAUUGGGACUAUGAUCAAUGCAUCUACAUGGAUGGUCUAUUGUAUGCAUCCAUAAGAGCCGGAAGAAUGGAUGCUUUUGACCUCACUGGUCCUACCGUCACGAGGAAUAUAAUUGCAGAUGAGAUUGCCAUUCACAGUUCUGAGUACAGGGGCGAAUUCUACCUUCUUCAGGCUCCAUGGGGUGAUCUGCUGCAAGUUUGCAGGAAGGCUGAACUCAUAGAUGCGGGCUAUGAGGAGCUCAUAGUUAAAACUAAUAAAAUCUUGUUACACAAAGUCGAUAUGGAAGCACAAGAGCUUGUGGAAAUAAAUAGCUUGCAUCAUAACGUGUUGUUUCUGGGGCGUAACCAGUCUAUAUGCCUUAGUGCUGAAGAAUAUCCGCAACUGAAGGCAAAUUGUGUCUAUUUCGCAGAUGAUGAGCAACAUAAUUGGAAGUAUAAGACGAAUCCCCGGGACAUAGGUGUUCUCAACCUUGAAGAUGACAGUAGGGAGGAAAUUGUGUCCCCGCUUUGGUCCAGCUGGCCAAGUCCCAUAUGGAUAACACCCAGUCUUACAGUGAUGAACCUGUCAUUGUACAAAUAG